rnacentral:rRNA from 1 species
AGAGUGAACGCUGGCGGUAGGCCUAACACAUGCAAGUCGAACGGCAGCACAGUGGUAGCAAUACCAUGGGUGGCGAGUGGCGGACGGGUGAGGAAUACAUCGGAAUCUACCUUUUCGUGGGGGAUAACGUAGGGAAACUUACGCUAAUACCGCAUACGCCCUUCGGGGGAAAGCCGGGGAUCGCAAGACCUGGCGCGGAUAGAUGAGCCGAUGUCGGAUUAGCUAGGUUGGUGAGGUAAUGGCUCACCAAGGCGACGAUCCGUAGCUGGUCUGAGAGGAUGAUCAGCCACGACUGGAACUGAGACACGGUCCAGGCUCCGUAGGAGGCAGCAGGUGGGAAUAGUUGGACAAGUGGGCGCGAAGCCUGAUCCAGCCAUCCGGCGUGGGAGAAGAACGGCCGUUACGGUUGUAAACGUCCGUUUUGGUAGGAAAGAAAGACGUAAGUUACCGGUUAAGUUACCCGGUUGUUACGUAGG